AUAGGGCGUUUAGUAUUUGGUCGUAGACCCGAAACCAGGUGAUCUACCCUUGGUCAGGUUGAAGUUCAGGUAACACUGAAUGGAGGACCGAACCGACUUACGUUGAAAAGUGAGCGGAUGAACUGAGGGUAGCGGAGAAAUUCCAAUCGAACCUGGAGAUAGCUGGUUCUCUCCGAAAUAGCUUUAGGGCUAGCCUCAAGUGAUGAUUAUUGGAGGUAGAGCA
rnacentral:rRNA from 1 species